CCCUACAAACCUGGGACCCCCAAAAAAAGGGACCCAGGUGCCCCCUACAAACCUGGGACCCCCAAAAAAAGGGACCCAGGUGCUCCCUACAAACCUGGGACCCCCCAAAAAAAGGGACCCAGGUGCUCCCUACAAACCUGGGACCCCCAAAAAAAGGGACCCAGGUGGUCCCUACAAAUGACACAAGGUCGGGGACCCCAAAAAGGGACCCAGGACUACCCCAGCCCUUCACCCAUAAAGGGUCCCA